rnacentral:misc_RNA from 1 species
ACACACACACACAAAUCUCGUUUACUUGAAAUAUCACGGCAAAUCUUCUUGAAAUAUGAAGGGCUCUCUCUUUAAUCCCCCGCCAGUAAUAAGAGGGAAUCAUCACACACACACACACACACACACACACACACACACACACACACACACACACACACACCUGGAGAUGCGAAUAUGUGACGUCAGUAGGUGAGAAGCAACACGUGGCGAGGUGAGAGACUUAAUCAACCUCAUCUGUCCUCCCUCCCUCUCACACUCCCUCCCUCUCACCCUCCUUCGCUUGUAGCAGCCUCACCACGUCCUCCUCAUCACCAGUGGUUCGGCAGCACGUGUCUGUUGUAGUGGUGAGCUGGGCACUUCCAUACCUCGGUCCACACCUCCGCUCCUCCAUACCUGCAGACCACCAAAUGAGGUGCGGGGGUCUAAGUGUAGAAAAAUUCUCAAAUGAGCGGAAGUAACAGAUACGGAAAGGAAUGCUGGCUGGACCUCUUCAAGAGGUACAACACCCAUCUCCCCAGCUCUGCUGCUGUGGAGAGGCUGUUCAGCUCUGCAGAGACAUCUUGUGGGCAAAGAGGUCCAGCCUCAGCAAUGUAAAUUUCGAACAGCUGGUGUUUGUGAGGCACAACAUGCACCUCCUGGACUACAAGGAAGUGCAGCACAAAGAGGAGGAGCAGGACUUGUAGAUUAUGUUUAAUGAACAUGUCAAAUUGUGAAUCGUUUCAAAACUGUCAUUUGUGAUAGAUAGUAAACUGAAUCAGCAACAUAUUUUUCUAUAUCCCCAUGUCUUCUCUUCCUCUUUUGAAUUAAACAAACCGGAAGUUUCUGUGCUGCGUGUGCUGAGGUAUGGUAAUUAUGAUGAAUAUGAAAGUAGCUACUGAAUUUAAGGUGAGGAUAGUGUAUGUACACUUUGAAAUAAUAAUAAUAAUGUUACAAUGACUUCCAGUUACUGCUAAUUGUAUAUACAUUAAAAUGAAUACAUGC